CAGCAGUGAGGAAGGUGGGUAUGUUAAUAGCAUAUUCAUUUGACGUUAGCUGCAGAAGAAGCACCGGCUAACUCCGUGCCAGCAGCCGCGGUAAUACGGAUGGUGCGAGCGUUAAUCGGAAUUACUGGGCGUAAAGCGCAUGCAGGUGGUUUGUUAAGUCAGAUGUGAAAGCCCGGGGCUCAACCUCGGAAUUGCAUUUGAAACUGGCAAACUAGAGUACUGUAGAGGGGGUAGAAUUUCAGGUGUAGCGGUGAAAUGCGUAGAGAUCUGAAGGAAUACCGGUGGCGAAGGCGGCCCCCUGGACAGAUACUGACACUCAGAUGCGAAAGCGUGGGGAGCAAACAGGAUUAGAUACCCUGGUAG
rnacentral:rRNA from 1 species